CAGAUCGGAAGCGAGAAUGUUGACAUGAGUAGCGACAAACAGGGUGAGAAACCCUGUCGCCGAAAGUCCAAGGGUUCCUGCUUAAAGCUAAUCUGAGCAGGGUAAGCCGGCCCCUAAGGCGAGGCCGAAAGGCGUAGUCGAUGGGAACCAGGUUAAUAUUCCUGGGCCAGGAGGAUGUGACGGAUGCUCACUGUUGUUCGGUCUUAUCGGAUCGACCGGGCAGCUGCGGUGUCCCUGGAAAUAGCCCUCCAUCAGACCGUACCCGAAACCGACACAGGUGGACUGGUAGAGUAUACCAAGGCGCUUGAGAGAACCACGUUUGAGGAACUCGGCAAAAUGCUCCCGUAAGUUCGCGAGAAGGGAGCCCCGUCUCUGGGCAACCAGGGGCGGGGGGCACAGACCAGGGGGUGGCGACUGUUUACUUAAAACACAGGGCUGUGCGAAGCCGUAAGGCGACGUAUACAGUCUGACGCCUGCCCGGUGCUGGAAGGUUAAAAGGAGGGGUGCAAGCUCCGAAUUGAAGCCCCAGUAAACGGCGGCCGUAACAAUAACGGUCCUAAGGUAGCGAAAUUCCUUGUCGGGUAAGUUCCGACCUGCACGAAUGGCGUAACGAUCUCCCCGCUGUCUCAAACGUGGACUCAGCGAAAUUGAACUGUGUGUCAAGAUGCACACUACCCGCGGUUAGACGGAGAGACCCCAUGAACCUUUACUCCAGCUUUGCACUGGCACCAGGAAUGUGAUGCGCAGGAUAGGUGGCAGGCUUUGAAGCCGGGACUCUGGUCCCGGUGGAGCCUCCCUUGAGAUACCACCCUUCGCCUUCUUGGUGUCUAACCGCGGUCCGUCAUCCGGAUCCGGGACCCUGCAUGGUGGGGAGUUUGACUGGGGCGGUCGCCUCCCAAAUCGUAACGGAGGCGCGCGAAGGUUGGCUCAGAGCGGUCGGAAAUCGCUCGUUGAGUGCAAUGGCAGAAGCCAGCCUGACUGCAAGACUGACAAGUCGAGCAGAGACGAAAGUCGGCCAUAGUGAUCCGGUGGUCCCAAGUGGGAGGGCCAUCGCUCAACGGAUAAAAGGUACUCUGGGGAUAACAGGCUGAUGAUGCCCAAGAGUCCAUAUCGACGGCAUCGUUUGGCACCUCGAUGUCGGCUCAUCUCAUCCUGGGGCUGGAGCAGGUCCCAAGGGUACGGCUGUUCGCCGUUUAAAGAGGUACGUGAGCUGGGUUUAGAACGUCGUGAGACAGUUCGGUCCCUAUCUGCCGUGGGUGCAGGAGACUUGAGAAGAGUUGACCCUAGUACGAGAGGACCGGGUUGAACGGACCACUGGUGGACCUGUUGUCGUGCCAACGGCAGUGCAGGGUAGCUAUGUCCGGACAGGAUAACCGCUGAAGGCAUCUAAGCGGGGAGCCCCCUUCAAAACAAGGUCUCCCUUGAGAGCCGUGGAAGACCACCACGUCGAUAGGCCGGAGGUGUAAGCGCAGCAAUGCGUUCAGCUGACCGGUACUAAUUGCUCC
rnacentral:rRNA from 1 species